GACGAACGCUGGCGGCGUGCUUAACACAUGCAAGUCGAACGGAAAGGCCCUGCUUUUGUGGGGUGCUCGAGUGGCGAACGGGUGAGUAACACGUGAGUAACCUGCCCUUGACUUUGGGAUAACUUCAGGAAACUGGGGCUAAUACCGGAUAGGAUCUCCUGCUGCAUGGUGGUGGUUGGUAAGUUUCGGCGGUUGGGGAUGGACUCGCGGCUUAUCAGCUUGUUGGUGGGGUAGUGGCUUACCAAGGCUUUGACGGGUAGCCGGCCUGAGAGGGUGACAGGCAACAUUGGGACUGAGAUACGGCCCAGACUCCUACGGGAGGCAGCAGUGGGGAAUAUUGCACAAUGGGCGGAAGCCUGAUGCAGCAACGCAGCGUGCGGGAUGACGGCCUUCGGGUUGUAAACCGCUUUCGCCUGUGACGAAGAGUGAGUGACGGUAAUGGGUAAAGAAGCACCGGCUAACUACGUG
rnacentral:rRNA from 1 species